UAAUAUCAUUUCUCACCCUUUCACUUGGUACUGUCAAUCGUUCUCUCUAUGUUUUUGGGUGAUUAAAUGCAACAAAUGAAGCAAAAAUUGGUCCAUUAUCCCAAGAUUUGGCUCUUCAAGUAGGAGUCUAGUCUAGCAUUAAGGGACUCAAAAGUGUAACUAUAGGAUUAGCAACUUAUAAAAUCACCAUUUGUAGUUUUUACUAUCCAUCAGCAGCAAUGUAAAAUAAGCUCUGCUAAUUGAAGGAGGAAAUAAAAUGUUCAGAGGGCAUUGAAAGAUAGUGAAUAAGCCAGUCUACGACUGAUUAGACAAGAGUAACCUACCUAUGUGGCUUUGCAGUAAAACCAAGACUCUUUCUGAGCCCAUGUGCUGAAAAUGAUGGGCGUUUAAGCCCCCAUGUUUCCUCAGCUGUUGACAGAUGAGCUUCUCUAAACUGGGAAAAGAUGCAAACCUUGAAUAGUGCAUGAAAGCUGCAUAAUCAGCUUACACAACACAUCUUUGUCAUGGGGAUAGCUAGAUCAUUCCUGGAAGAGCAACACUGGAACUCCAUCCACGAUCCCCAAUUGUUAGUGGCUUGAUUGAUCCUAUGCUUGCACACGCAAGUGAAAUCUGAAUUUAUGGCAACGAAUGUUAGCUCGUUUGGCUAGACAUAAGCAUCAUGCCAAUCUACUAAGCUUUUGAAAUC